rnacentral:rRNA from 1 species
AGUGAACGCUGGCGGUAGGCCUAACACAUGCAAGUCGAACGGCAGCACAGUAAGAGCUUGCUCUUACGGGUGGCGAGUGGCGGACGGGUGAGGAAUACAUCGGAAUCUACUUUUUCGUGGGGGAUAACGUAGGGAAACUUACGCUAAUACCGCAUACGACCUACGGGUGAAAGCAGGGGAUCUUCGGACCUUGCGCGAUUGAAUGAGCCGAUGUCGGAUUAGCUAGUUGGCGAGGUAAAGGCCCACCAAGGCGACGAUCCGUAGCUGGUCUGAGAGGGUGAUCAGCCACACUGGAACUGAGACACCGUCCAGACUCCUACGGGAGGCAGCAGUGGGGAAUAUUGGACAAUGGGCGCAAGCCUGAUCCAGCCAUACCGCGUGGGUGAAGAAGGCCUUCGGGUUGUAAAGCCCUUUUGUUGGGAAAGAAAAGCAGCAGGUUAAUACCCCGCUGUUCUGACGGUACCCAAAGAAUAAGCACCGGCUAACUUCGUG